rnacentral:rRNA from 1 species
UAUGUGAUCGUCUCUCGCAUAUCAAUAAGCGGAGGAAAAGAAACUAACAAGGAUUCCCCUAGUAACGGCGAGUGAAGCGGGAAGAGCUCAAAUUUGAAAUCUUAAAGGGUUUCCCUUUACGAAUUGUAGUUUAAAGAAGUGUUUUCUGUUGAGGUUUUGGUAAAAGUUCUUUGGAAUAGGACAUCAUAGAGGGUGAGAAUCCCGUAUUUGACCUUUACUUUCAACUUUGUGAUACACUUUCAAAGAGUCGGAUUGUUUGGGAAUGCAGUCCAAAAUGGGUGGUAAAUUUCAUCUAAAGCUAAAUAUUGGCGAGAGACCGAUAGCGAACAAGUACCGUGAGGGAAAGAUGAAAAGAACUUUGAAAAGAGAGUUAAACAGUACGUGAAAUUGUCAAAAGGGAAGCGUUUGACACCAGUGUUGUUUUUCUGAAAAUCAAUUAAAGAACUGUUUAUGCUAAGUUGUUUAGACUUUAUCAGCUAACUGUUUAGUUUUGAGCUUUUCUUUAAUGCACUUUUCAGUUAACAAGUCAACAUCAAUUUCUUUUGCUGUAAAAAAGCUUGAGGAAGGUGGCUUGAGAUUCGUCUUAAGUGUUUAUAGCCUCUUGCCUAUGCAGUCGGAGAGAUUGAGGUCUGCAGCGUAGAUCCUUCGGGGCUAAAUGCAUUUGUGCUAAGUUAUAGCAUUUUAUAGACAACUUGUUGACUAUGAUUUGUCUUGUAGCUUACUCGCUUAUGUUAUUUUACCUACGCUUAGGAUGUUGAUAUGCAUGACUGAUAU